CGGCUCCCCGAGGCAUCCAUCCAUGUUCCAUGUGAAUCCAAUUUCCUUGCAUUACCUCACCCCAGGUCAGGGAUGAAUGGCUGUCAAAUUCCCAGUGGAAUAAAAAGAAAAACCCUUUCUUCCUGAGGCAGCAAGUUUCAAUACACAGAGCACACGGCUAAUCUACAUAUGUGAAGGUCAUGGCACUUCAGUCAGAGAGGUUAAGAAUGGAACAGCUCACGUAAGGAGUUGUCUUAAACAUCUUGGCAUGAUGCCCAACAAGUGCAAUUGUUGAGAAGCAAUAGAUAGCUUCUGGCAGUGGCAAGGGGAAAAAUAUUUUGAUCACGUGAUCUACACACUUACCUAGUUUAUUUCACAUGUGAAGCUUUGAGUCUCUCAAAUACACUAUCUAUGCAAAACAAAUUCAGACUUCAGCUUUGCUAGUUUAGCUGGGCUAGGACUCUUUCCACUUCUUAAAUGGCACUCACACAGAAUUUCAACAUGCAUUGAGAAGAAAACCUCAACAUCCUGACAGGCAACUUCUUCACAUCACUUUCUCAAUGAAAAAUAAAAAUACUUUUAAGACCAGAGAAGAGCAUUUAGACUGGAAAGACAUGUUCCUGUAAGCUGUCCCAACACGGUGUCUUAAGUAAAAUUCCUCUUCUCCAGGUCCCUAUUCCUCUCCCCUCCUCACUAACACUACAGUCACCAAGGAAACCAUAGGAGCUUAGCACACAAUGACAGACAGGACACAAACUGGUUUUGCCUCCCGUCUUCACUAAACAAUCACAAGAGAAGCAUGCACUAGUGUUUGACAGAGCUCAGUCUAACAAGUCUCACAACAGAGCAAGGCGGGCACAUUCCUGACACACAGGAUGGACUGGAGGUGAAAGGGGAGAAACUCAGGUGUUGUAAGCAAGUCUGCGCCUGCUUGCCCUCGGCACA